CCUCAGACCAAGGAGACCUGCCUACAGCUGCAUUCCACCCACAUCGUUGUCUAAAUCUCCAAAGUCCUCUGGCCCCCACCUGUGCCAUCUUUGAUAACCGGACUCACUCUGUAGGCAAUCAAGGCCGGGGCUCUAGAACUCUCACACCAUGAUAUUUACUUGCCUUUCUAUCUGGAUGGUGAGAGUUUCCAACAAAGUCUUUGAAAAAGAAGCAAAGCAAGUAAGAACGCCUUGUUCAAUAGCUUCAGAUGGCCAUGUGUCCAUAGCAUCGCCUCAAGAGCCGGGCUACUAUUCCCGCUUACAAAUGAGGAGACUUAAGGCUCAGAGAGAUUAAAUGAGCUGCCUAAUGUCACAAGACUAAGCAGAGUCAGAACUAGAAUCCAAGUCCCUGCUCUUCUCAAUAUGAGGAAUACACCAAUCACCAGACGUGGGCUAUCCCCAAGGAGGAGCGCAUCCUAGAGCAAGGUGGCUCUCCCUGAGACAAGGCUGAGGACAAUUCCAGGGAAAGGGCUCUCUGAGAGCACAACAGCCACCAACAUUCUCCUACCUGGGGACCAAAUGUCCUCUCUGCCCUGAAGUGGCAAUCUGGGUGAUUGCCUCUACAGAUACAUAAUCAAGUCUCUCUUCUGCUCUCAACACAAAACAGGAAGCUUUACAGAUAACCUGUUUGAAGAAUGAUUCUCUCAGAGUCGAGGCUUUAUGUUCUCAAGAGACUGAGAACUCCAAUCUGUCAGAACUCAGAGGGAACUGCCUUCAAGCUAAUCACUAGGGACCAUCU